CCUUUAUUUGAGAAUUCGUUGCUUUAUAUCCAUGCAUUAAAGUUGAUCAUGCGGAACAAUGAGUUAAAGACAAUCAUUAAUUACAUUUCAUAUUCUUUUGCUUGCAUAAGGCACUGAUUUUGCUAUUCUUCUUAAUGGAAUUAGUUUUAUAAACCUUAAGCUGAUUUAUACUUGUUGACUUUUUGAACUCUUUUUAUCUAUUUUGUUGGCAUUUUGUAUCAUUGGUUGGCAAGAUAAACUUUGUACAAGGUCUAAUGAGGUGUGUGGUAUGGCUUCGUAUAUCCAAGUUUGAAUUCGAUCAAAGUAGAAUAUCUAACUUCUCAUCAUCCUGCUUGACAUGCUUAACUAAAUUUGAGAAAAGUGAUAUCAACUAUCCAUGUCAUAAACAAUUUUCAUCUUCCCCAUCAUCUUUAAUCUUCCUCAUCCUCUCAUCUCAUAAGUCUUGAAACAUACUAAAAUAAUGAAUAUGACAAGACAGAGUGGAUAACUAAGUUAUUCACAAAAUUUUGGUUUCAUCCAAUAUUUCAUAACUUGUUCUACAAUAAAUGAAUUGAAAC
rnacentral:lncRNA from 1 species